GCCUAUGGCCAUACCACCAUGAACAGACCUGAUCUUGGAAACUAAGCAGGGUUGGGUCUGGUUAGAACUUGGAUGGGAGUCCGCCUGGGUAUACUUGGGUGCUGCAGACC
rnacentral:rRNA from 1 species